rnacentral:tRNA from 1 species
GGGUUGCUAACUCAAUGGUAGAGUACUCGGCUUUUAAACAACUUAUGAAUCAUAAGCAAUUGCAAAAAAAAA